rnacentral:lncRNA from 1 species
CCCAGCAAGUAAUAGCAAUUAUAUAUAUAAGCUGAAAGAAUAUAAGUAUUCUCUUUACAUAACACUUCUACAACGAAUCGAAAGUUGUGAAGUAAUCUGUACUGAUAAAAUAUUCACAUAACAACUCUCUUUCAAUUUCUUGAAAUUAGGCUCCACCCAUGAAUAGGGUUUAAGAAACAUACUAUGAACAUUCUUUUUAUUUUUGAAAAGGUUUAGCAGAAAUCCAUCCGCA